UUCACCAUCCUUCUUUCGUCGUGGCUCUCCUCACCAGAAGACAGAUGGCUACUAAGACAAGGAUACAUUGUGAAGCAGAACCAAGAUGUUUGCCUACUUGGCAUAUAGUGACCUUUGGCCCCCUUCAUGAUCCAAGCGAUGAGAUGCAAGCAAUCAUCGUCUGGGAUAUCAAGACGGCAGGGAGUCGAGAAGAAAGGUUUCUUGUGCGAUAAUGCCCUCUAAUUGGCCAGUGUUCAAGCACAUAGUGAGUGACCUCUGGCGACCUUCAUGAUACAAGUGAUGAGAUGCAAGCAAUCAUCGUCUGGGAUAGCAAGGCCAGUGUUCCAACUUCCAGUAUUGGAGAUAUCUUUUUCCUUCAUCUGAUUUUCCUUCGGGAGAACUCCUUGUGAGGGAAGAAAUGCUUUCCGAUAGAGCAAACAGAUGCAGUGGGACUGGUCACAGUACAGGUCUAUAUGGCAAUCCUUUACAACUUUGUGACAUUGGUAACCUGGCAGAGAUGAGAGAUAAGACGUGGUAUUCUUCCAUCCGAUGCAGACUCUGGAGAACUGAUGGGACUGUCAGUUUCCUGCUCCUUGUCCUGUUCAUGCUGUGUGAUAUUUGUAACCUGCCGGAGAUGAGAGAUAAGGCGUGGUAUUCUGCCAUUCGAUGCAGACUGGAGAUUUGAUGGGCCUGUCAGUUCCUGAUUUCUCAUCCUGUUCAUGUGUUCUUCACAUCAGAAAUCAUCAUCAGUGCUGGCCGAAAUAGCUUCCAGCAUAGGAGAUUUGUGAUGAAAUUGCUGUUGGGAGAUGGAGGCACCUCGUUUUGACGAGACUGGUGUAGGAAAUCAGAGAGAUGUCCCUCUUAGAGUAGUGAUCUCUUGGCCCUCUGCAGUAGCCCAAAUGGAUAGUCCACUUCACGGCUGUAAGAUUCUCGCUGCCUACAUGUGGAGUCUUCUGGACAUAUUGAGGAGCAUUCCUUCUAGUUGCCCCAUUUUUCCAUUUUGGAUUAGUAACCUCUUCAAGAUUCCUUUCAGACCCCAUCAUGAAAUACUGAGGUAUGCCGUCACUCGUUGCUGGUAUGAUCUAGAAUGAAAUUGGAGCCAGAUGAUCAGUUUCUGAAGGCCACUUUCACAAAGGGAUUUUACCCGACUCUUUUGACAUCUGUUCAUGUUGAGGGAAAUGAGAUGUCCUAUACUACAAAGGAGCCCUGAAGACUCGUUCUUGACAUGAAAGUACAACUGGAAUUGCACAAAUGGUUGUGUAGUCUAUGGAAUCUGCCACACGCCUACGCUAUCUCUUAUACUAGAUGGCACUACACGAAUUAAAAGAUGUCUUCUAUGAUUCUAGGAUUAAAAAUCUGAAGAAAAAAGUUACAUAUUACUGUGGAGUGAUUUUAGCAAAGUCCUUCCUUCGUGAGAAGGGGGGGGGGGGGGAAUACAUUCUUAGAUGCCAUUGACACUCCUGUACGGAAAGUGCCCAAAAUAUUUUAUUACAGAAACAAAA